CGUGCCCUGUUGGAUAAUGCUGUGUUUACAAACAGCAAAGAAGCACUAAGAAUUCAAGUUGGAAGCAGAAAGAGUUGUGGGAGGCCUGCAGAGAACCCUAUGGCACAUUCUGUUGACCCAUUUAUUUUUAGGUAGGUGUUUCCUUCCUUUUGUGCCAACUACCAUAAAGUAGCUCCAGAAGCUCCUAGUUACAAUCCGUGCAUUGGCCAGGAAUCAAACGCAGGUCAACUACUUGGAAGGCAGCUAUGCUCACCUCUAUACCACCAAUGCCAUGCUAGGCAAUUCAACUCUGCUGAACAAAAGUUUAAGUAUGUGCUCUUCUCAUCAGCAGACCAUAGGCAAGAGCCGAAGCGCAGCUCUGUCAUGGUUUCUGUAGUGUGGUGGUUAUCACGUUUGCCUAACACUCAUCACCGUAAGAUCAGGUCCUCCAGGAACAGCCGGAAAGCGACACCUUGGACAGAGCAGAUUUCCUUCUUUUGU
ensembl:lncRNA